rnacentral:rRNA from 1 species
AGAGUUGAUCAUGGCUCAGGACGAACGCUGGCGGCGUGCUUCAUACAUGCAAGUCGAACGAGAAUCUGACUUCGGUCAGAGGAAAGUGGCGGACGGGUGAGUAAAAUGUAGAGAAUCUGCCCUUAAGCGGGGGACAACAGUUGGAAACGACUGCUAAUACCCCAUAUGCGCGUAGCUGAGAUGCUAUUCGUGAAAACUCCGGUGCUUAAGGAUGAGUCUGCAUCUGAUUAGCUAGUAGGCGGUGUAAUGGACCACCUAGGCGACGAUCAGUAGCUGGUUUGAGAGGAUGAUCAGCCACAAUGGGACUGAGACACGGCCCAUACUCCUACGGGAGGCAGCAGUAGGGAAUUUUGCGCAAUGGGGGAAACCCUGACGCAAGCAACGCCGCGUGAUUGAAGAAGCCCUUCGGGGUGUAAAGAUCUGUCAGUGGGGACGAAACUUGACGGUACCCACAGAGGAAGCAUCGGCUAACUCCGUGCCAGCAGCAGC